GUUCUGCUCGCCUUAUGCAAAGAACUUCAUGCAUAAGUUGGCCUGUCAUCCAUCCUCUGCUCACCACUUUGAGGAAGCCCUUCCAUGUCUGUGAGCCUCCCCUGCCCCCCUGGAUAGCCCUUAUUCUGUUAUAAACAUUCUCACCUGGGAAACUCACACAGGGAACUUUAGUGUGUGCACAGGAAGUACCUCAACAUCGAGCAAGUGUAGUAGCUUAUAUAGUCCCCCCAGCACAAUACAAGAAAACCCUGCAGUACAUUCAGGCUGAUAAGUUCACAUCAAACGUACGCUCAGACCAGGUUGAAUCACAUUUAGCAUGUUGACUUAGUUGUGUUGGUGACUUUCAUUAAACAUGGGAUGGUUCACUAUGAAUACUUG
rnacentral:lncRNA from 1 species